AGUGAACGCUGGCGGUAGGCCUAACACAUGCAAGUCGAACGGCAGCACAGUAAGAGCUUGCUCUUACGGGUGGCGAGUGGCGGACGGGUGAGGAAUACAUCGGAAUCUACUUUUUCGUGGGGGAUAACGUAGGGAAACUUACGCUAAUACCGCAUACGACCUACGGGUGAAAGCAGGGGAUCUUCGGACCUUGCGCGAUUGAAUGAGCCGAUGUCGGAUUAGCUAGUUGGCGGGGUAAAGGCCCACCAAGGCGACGAUCCGUAGCUGGUCUGAGAGGAUGGUCAGCCACAGUGGAACUGAGCCACGGCCCAGGCACCUACGGGAGGCAGCAGUGGGGAAUAUUGGACAAUGGGCGCAAGCCUGAUCCAGCCAUACCGCGUGGGUGAAGAAGGCCUUCGGGUUGUAAAGCCCUUUUGUUGGGAAAGAAAAGCAGCAGGUUAAUACCCCGCUGUUCUGACGGUACCCAAAGAAUAAGCACCGGCUAACUUCGU
rnacentral:rRNA from 1 species